GCGCACUUGAGUGCACCUGGGAGCAUCUGAGUGCACCUGGGAUCACACCUGGGAACACCUGAGUGCACCUGGGCACACCUGAAAGGGUACCUGGGCACACCUGAGCGCACCUGGGAGUGCCUGAAAGUGCACCUGGGCACACCUGAGUGCACCUGGACACACCUGAGUGCACUUGAGUGCACCUGGGAGCAUCUGAGUGCACACCUGGACACACCUGAGUACACAUGGGCACACUUGAGUGCACAUGGGAUCACACCUGAGUGCACCUGGGAUCACACCUGGGCACACCUGAGUGCACCUGGAGGCACCUGAGCACACCUGGGCACACCUGAAUUCACACCUGAGCCAACACCUACACACACCUGCCUGGCAAAGGCUCCAAUCCCUGCAAUUCCAGCCCCAUCCAGGUACCCCAGGUGGAAUUUCCAGCCCCAUCCAGGUAUCCCAGGUGGGACCCCAGCCCCAUUUGCACCUGAGGGUGAAGGGCACGGUGUCGAAGCGCCGCUCCACCUCGCUGAAGAAAUUCCAGAGAUUUCCCAGCCCUAUAUCCCGGUAUCCCAACCCCAUCCAGGUACCCCAGGUGGAAUUUCCAGCCCCAUCCAGGUACCCCAGGUGGGACCCCAACCCCAUCCAGGUAUCCCAGCCCUAUCCAGGUGGGACCCCAGCCCUAUAUCCUGGUACCCCAACCCCAUCCAGGUACCCCAGGUAGAAUUUCCAGCCCCAUCCCGGUACCCCAGGUAGAAUUUCCAGCCCCAUCCAGGUACCC
rnacentral:lncRNA from 1 species